GAUGUAACACCAUGGGGUAGGAAGCCCAGAAACUUCUCCGGAAUGUGUACCAUGGGUAUGUUUGGUACCUGUGGAGGUCAGAAAGAGGAUAUUGCAUCCCCUGGAAAUGGAGUUAUGGAUGUUUAUGAAUCACCAGACCAAGAUGUGAACUCUCAGGUAUUUCUGCCACCACAUAUCUGUUUCAUCAUCAUGAACUCUAAUCCACUGAAAAUGGGAAAGCUCACAGUGUAAAUCAUGUUGCUCUACAGAUGCCAAUUCCUCCUCCCUAAGGUGGAUUGUAUGAAUGCCCAGGAACAUUGUAAUAAACCUGUGACAAUGGAAGCAGAAGACACAGAGUGCAACAGAAGCAGAAUCCUGAUCAAUGACAGCAGCUACAUAGUGUAAACAAAAGACUAUUGCAGGGCACUUAGACGUCAUCAGAAUAUCAUAUCCGUGCGUCGUAAAGAGAUAAAAGAAAUAAAGUAAGCCUAUCAGCUAUCUUAGAACUUUGAAUAUUAACUCUGAACCUUCUGAAAAGAAGGGAAUAUGAAGGAAGACCUUCAUAAUAACUCCAUAGUAUGUCACAUUCUCCCCAUACCUGUACCCACAUUUAUUGCCAUCACACCCUAAUAGACUCAGUAGCUGCUUUUAUGGAAACCAAAAGGAGAAUAGUCUAUGACUGGUCCAAACAUAGUUCUUCAUUUACGUGAGUGAUGACAGAUUGGUGCAGGCAUCUUCCUUCUGGCUGUACAAACAGGCACACUCCUGUGCUACCCACCCCCAUGCUACAACAUUGGCCCCUAUAAAA